rnacentral:rRNA from 1 species
AAGACGGGAGGAAGAAGGGGGGAAUAUGGGACAAUGGGCGAAAGCCUGAUCCAGCCAUGCCGCGUGUGUGAAGAAGGCCUUCGGGUUGUAAAGCACUUUCAGUGGGGAAGAAAGCCUUGGGGCUAAUACCCUCGAGGAAGGACAUCACCCACAGAAGAAGCACCGGCUAACUCCGUGCCAGCAGCCGCGGUAAUACGGAGGGUGCGAGCGUUAAUCGGAAUUACUGGGCGUAAAGCGCGCGUAGGCGGUCUGAUAAGCCGGUUGUGAAAGCCCCGGGCUCAACCUGGGAACGGCAUCCGGAACUGUCAGGCUAGAGUGCAGGAGAGGAAGGUAGAAUUCCCGGUGUAGCGGUGAAAUGCGUAGAGAUCGGGAGGAAUACCAGUGGCGAAGGCGGCCUUCUGGACUGACACUGACGCUGAGGUGCGAAAGCGUGGGUAGCAAACAGGAUUAGAUACCCCGGUAGUC